rnacentral:rRNA from 1 species
UACGGAGGGUGCAAGCGUUACUCGGAAUCACUGGGCGUAAAGAGCGCGUAGGCGGGAUAAUAAGUCAGAUGUGAAAUCCUAUGGCUUAACCAUAGAACUGCAUUUGAAACUAUUAUUCUAGAGUAUGGGAGAGGUAGGUGGAAUUCUUGGUGUAGGGGUAAAAUCCGUAGAGAUCAAGAGGAAUACUCAUUGCGAAGGCGACCUGCUGGAACAUAACUGACGCUGAUGCGCGAAAGCGUGGGGAGCAAACA